rnacentral:rRNA from 1 species
CCAGCGGUGGAUAGCACGUUGAAUACACCAGUUUCUAUUGGAUCACUGAAGUUAAGCAACGCUGCGCGUUUUUAGCGUUACCUAUGUU